rnacentral:rRNA from 1 species
CUACGUGCCAGCAGCCGCGGUAAUACGGAAGGUCCGGGCGUUAUCCGGAUUUAUUGGGUUUAAAGGGAGCGUAGGCCGGAGAUUAAGCGUGUUGUGAAAUGUAGACGCUCAACGUCUGACUUGCAGCGCAUACUGGUUUCCUUGAGUACGCACAACGUUGGCGGAAUUCGUCGUGUAGCGGUGAAAUGCUUAGAUAUGACGAAGAACUCCGAUUGCGAAGGCAGCUGACGGGAGCGCAACUGACGCUUAAGCUCGAAGGUGCGGGUAUCGAACAGGAUUAGAUACCCUGGUAGUCCGCACAGUAAACGAUGGAUGCCCGCUGUUGGUACCUGGUAUCAGCGGCUAAGCGAAAGCAUUAAGCAUCCCACCUGGGGAGUACGCCGGCAACGGUGAAACUCAAAGGAAUUGACGGGGGCCCGCACAAGCGGAGGAACAUGUGGUUUAAUUCGAUGAUACGCGAGGAACCUUACCCGGGCUUGAA